CCCAGACUCCUACGGGAGGCAGCAGUGGGGGAUAUUGCACAAUGGGGGAAACCCUGAUGCAGCAACGCCGCGUGAGUGAAGAAGUAUUUCGGUAUGUAAAGCUCUAUCAGCAGGGAAGAAGAAGGACGGUACCUGACUAAGAAGCCCCGGCUAACUACGUGCCAGCAGCCGCGGUAAUACGUAGGGGGCGAGCGUUAUCCGGAUUUACUGGGUGUAAAGGGAGCGUAGAUGGUGAAGUAAGUCUGGAGUGAAAGGCGGGGGCCCAACCCCCGGACUGCUCUGGAAACUAUUUGACUGGAGUGCAGGAGAGGUAAGCGGAAUUCCUAGUGUAGCGGUGAAAUGCGUAGAUAUUAGGAGGAACACCAGUGGCGAAGGCGGCUUACUGGACUGUAACUGACGUUGAGGCUCGAAAGCGUGGGGAGCAAACAGGAUUAGAUACCCUAGUA
rnacentral:rRNA from 1 species